GAUGAACGCUGGCGGCGUGCCUAAUACAUGCAAGUCGAGCGAAUGGAUUAAGAGCUUGCUCUUAUGAAGUUAGCGGCGGACGGGUGAGUAACACGUGGGUAACCUGCCCAUACGACUGGGAUAACUCCGGGAAACCGGGGCUAAUACCGGGUAACAUUUUGAACCGCAUGGUUCGAAAUUGAAAGGCGGCUUCGGCUGUCACUUAUGGAUGGACCCGCGUCGCAUUAGCUAGUUGGUGAGGUAACGGCUCACCAAGGGAACGAUGCGUAGCGGACCAGAGAGGGUGAUCGGCCACACUGGGCCUGGGAAACGGCCAAGACUCCUACGGGAGGCAGCAGUAGGGAAUCUUCCGCAAUGGACGAAAGUCUGACGGAGCAACGCCGCGUGAGUGAUGAAGGCUUUCGGGUCGUAAAACUCUGUUGUUAGGGAAGAACAAGUGCUAGUUGAAUAAGCUGGCACCUUGACGGUACCUAACCAGAAAGCCACGGCUAACUACGUGCCAGCCGCCGCCGUAA
rnacentral:rRNA from 1 species